rnacentral:rRNA from 1 species
GACGAACGCUGGCGGCGUGCUUAACACAUGCAAGUCGAACGAGAAUCACUGGAAGGAGUUUUCGGACAACGGAAGGUGAGGACAGUGGCGGACGGGUGAGUAACGCGUGAGGAACCUGCCUUUCAGAGGGGGACAACAGUUGGAAACGACUGCUAAUACCGCAUGAUACUUUUUGGAGGCAUCGGUCUGGAAAGUCAAAGAUUUAUUGCUGAAAGAUGGUCUCGCGUCUGAUUAGCUAGUUGGCGGGGUAACGGCCCACCAAGGCGACGAUCAGUAGCCGGUCUGAGAGGAUGAACGGCCACACUGGAACUGAGACACGGUCCAGACUCCUACGGGAGGCAGCAGUGGGGAAUCUUCCGCAAUGGGCGAAAGCCUGACGGAGCAACGCCGCGUGAGUGAUGACGGCC